rnacentral:rRNA from 1 species
AUUGAACGCUGGCGGCAGGCCUAACACAUGCAAGUCGAGCGGUGCGGCGGACGGGCGAGUAAUUCCUAGGAAUCUGCCUGGCAGUGGGGGAUAACGUCCGGUAACGGGCGCUAAUACCGCAUACUAUCAGAUGAGCCUAGGUCGUAUUAGCUCGUUGGUGGGGUAAAGGCCUACCAAGGCGACGUUCCGUAACUGGUCUGAGAGGAUGAUCAGUCACACUGGAACUGAGACACGGUCCAGACGCCUACGGGAGGCAGCAGUGGGGAAUCUUGGGCAAUGGGCGAAAGCCUGAAGCAGCCAUGCCGCGUGUGUGAAGAAGGUCUUCGGAUUGUAAAGCACUUUAAGUUGGGAGGCGUUACCAACAGAAUAAGCACCGGCUAACUUCGUGCCAGCAGCCGCGGUAAUUC